UCUGGUUGGAGAUUUAAGAAGUCUAGCCUGCCCACUGACUUAAAGUUGGUUUAAGGGCCGCGGUAUUUAUGACCGUGCAAAGGUAGCAUAAUCAUUAGGUUUUAAAUGGAAUCUUGUAUGAAUGGUUGGACAAAGGAGAAGCUGUCUUUAUAUAAAGAAUUUGAAUUUUACUUUUAAGUGAGAAGGCUUAAAUAAUUUAGUGGGACGAUAAGACCCUAUAAAGCUUUACAUUAUAGUUACAUUUAGUUUAAUUUAGAAAAUAAAAAUUUAAUGUAGGUAUUUGUUUUGUUGGGGAGACAAAAGUAAAAAUUAUAUUAACUGCUUAAAAAAUAAACAUUUAUUGAUGUAUAAUUAAUAGAUCCUAAAUAUAGAUUUAAAG
rnacentral:rRNA from 1 species